rnacentral:rRNA from 1 species
UACGUAGGGUGCGAGCGUUGUCCGGAAUUAUUGGGCGUAAAGAGCUCGUAGGCGGCUUGUCGCGUCGGAUGUGAAAGCCCGGGGCUUAACUCCGGGUCUGCAUUCGAUACGGGCAGGCUAGAGUUCGGUAGGGGAGAUCGGAAUUCCUGGUGUAGCGGUGAAAUGCGCAGAUAUCAGGAGGAACACCGGUGGCGAAGGCGGAUCUCUGGGCAUGACCUGACGCUGAGGAGCGAAAGUGUGGGGAGCGAACAGG